rnacentral:rRNA from 1 species
UACGUAGGGGGCAAGCGUUGUCCGGAUUUAUUGGGCGUAAAGAGCGUGUAGGCGGUUUGGUAGGUCCGUUGUGAAAACUCGAGGCUCAACCUCGAGACGCCGAUGGAAACCAUCAGACUAGAGUCCGGAAGAGGAGAGUGGAAUUCCUGGUGUAGCGGUGAAAUGCGCAGAUAUCAGGAGGAACACCGGUGGCGAAGGCGGGUCUCUGGGCCAUUACUGACGCUGAGGAGCGAAAGCGUGGGGAGCGAACAGG